rnacentral:tmRNA from 1 species
GGGGGUGUCUGGUUUCGACAGGGAGAUUGCGGGUUGAGUGGGCGUGCCUAGGUUGGUCUCCAGGCCUAGUCAAAAGGAGACUCAAAGUUUUAAAUGCCGACGUAAAUGUCGAAGAAUAUGCAAUGGCCGCUUAAUUGCCCAUUGCUGUUCUGAGGGUGCCAAUGCCCGAUAACAACAAUAUUGGCAAAGAAGGGGUGAGAGACCUUCUCAAAAAUCUCUCCGUUGACUUGUCGGGAUGACAACGUAAAAAAUCACCGAGUUUUCUCUGCUGUUACAAAUGGCAGAUAGUCUGUCUGAGAGCGAUAUUCUUAGACUACGCACGUAGUCCCUCUACUAGUGGUUUUUCUGGACGUGGGUUCGAUUCCCACCACCUCCACCA